ACGAGAAAGUGGAGCAAUCCAUGAGUAAAGUGGCGACCGGGUGAGUAACACGUGACUAACCUACCUUCGAGUGGGGGAUAACCUAGGGAAACCUGGGCUAAUACCGCAUAACAUCUUUGGAGUGGAAAUUCUGGAGAUCAAAAGAGCAAUUUGCUUGAAGAGGGAUCCGCGGCCGAUUAGCUUGUUGGCGAGGUAAUGGCUCACCAAGGCAUUGAUCGGUAGCCGGACUGAGAGGUUGGCCGGCCACACUGGAACUGAGACACGGUCCAGACUCCUACGGGAGGCAGCAGUGGGGAAUCUUGCACAAUGGACGAAAGUCUGAUGCAGCAACGCCGCGUGGGGGAUGAAGCUUCUCGGAGUGUAAACCCCUUUCGACCCGGAAGAAUGCCCGCAAGGGUAUGACGGUACGGGUAUAAGAAGCCCCGGCUAACUACGUGCCAGCAGCCGCGGUAAUACGUAGGGGGCCAGCGUUGCUCGGAAUUACUGGGCGUAAAGGGUCCGUAGGCGGUGUAGCAAGUCGAUAGUGAAAUCUCUGGGCUUAACCCAGAGGCUGCUAACGAAACUGCUGUGCUAGAGUGUGAGAGAGGCGAGUGGAAUUACGGGUGUAGCGGUGAAAUGCGUAGAUAUCCGUAG
rnacentral:rRNA from 1 species